rnacentral:rRNA from 1 species
AACGAACGCUGGCGGCAGGCCUAACACAUGCAAGUCGAGCGGACCUUUCGGGGUCAGCGGCGGACGGGUGAGUAACGCGUGGGAAUAUGCCCUUCUCUACGGAAUAGUCCUGGGAAACUGGGGGUAAUACCGUAUACGCCCUUUGGGGGAAAGAUUUAUCGGGGAAGGAUUAGCCCGCGUGGGAUUAGGUAGUUGGUGGGGUAAUGGCCUACCAAGCCGACGAUCCAUAGCUGGUUUGAGAGGAUGAUCAGCCACACUGGGACUGAGACACGGCCCAGACUCCUACGGGAGGCAGCAGUGGGGAAUCUUAGACAAUGGGGGCAACCCUGAUCUAGCCAUGCCGCGUGAGUGAUGAAGGCCUUAGGGUUGUAAAGCUCUUUCAGCUGGGAAGAUAAUGACGGUACCAGCAGAAGAAGCCCCGGCUAACUCCGUG